GUCAACCCAAUGAUCAAAAUCAAUUCGAGCGUUCUGCCUUUGACACGGUGAAAGAAAGAAGUCAACUCAAUGAUCAGAAUCAAUUCGAGUAUUCUGCCUUUGGUUCUGCCUUUAACACGGUGAGGGAAAAAAGUCAACCCAAUGAUCAGAAUCAAUUCGAGCGUUCUUCCUUUGACACGGUGAGGGAAAGAAGUCAACCCAAUGAUCAGAAUCAAUUCGAGAAUUCUGCCUUUGGUUCUGCCUUUAACACGGUGAGGGAAAGAAGUCAACCCAAUGAUCAGAAUCAAUUCGAGCGUUCUGCCUUUGACACGGUGAGAGAAAAAAGUCAACCCAACGAUCAGAAUCAAUUCGAGAGUUCUGCCUUUGACACGGUGAGGGAAAGAAGUCAACCCAAUGAUCAGAAUCAAUUCAAGCGUUCUGCCUUUGGUUCUGCUUUUAACACAGUGAGGGGAAAAAGUCAACUCAAUGAUCAGAAUCAAUUCGAGCGUUCUGUCUUUGACACGGUGAGGGAAUCAAGUUUGUAUCAACCUAAUGAUCAGAAUCAAUUUGAGCGUUCUGCCUUUGGCACGGUGAGGGAAUCAAGUAUGUAUCAGC
rnacentral:lncRNA from 1 species